rnacentral:rRNA from 1 species
GAUGAACGCUGGCGGCGUGCCUAAUACAUGCAAGUCGAGCGAACAGACGAGGAGCUUGCUCCUCUGACGUUAGCGGCGGACGGGUGAGUAACACGUGGAUAACCUACCUAUAAGACUGGGAUAACUUCGGGAAACCGGCGCUAAUACCGGAUAAUAUAUUGAACCGCAUGGUUCAAUAGUGAAAGACGGUUUUGCUGUCACUUAUAGAUGGAUCCGCGCCGCAUUAGCAAGUUGGUAAGGUAACGGCUUACCAAGGCAACGAUGCGUAGCCGACCUGAGAGGGUGAUCCGCCACACUGGAACUGAGACACGGUCCAGACUCCUACGGGAGGCAGCAGUAGGGAAUCUUCCGCAAUGGGCGAAAGCCUGACGGAGCAACGCCGCGUGAGUGAUGAAGGUCUUCGGAUCGUAAAACGCUGUUAGUAGGGAAGAACAAAUGUGUAAGUAACUAUGCACGUCUUGACGGUACCUAAUCAGAAAGCCACGGCUAACUACGUG